AAGACUAUACUUUCAGGGAUCAUUUCUAUAGUUUAUGACUUGAGAAAUGUGUUUCUAAAGUGUAUGGUCUCGCUGACCACGAUGAAGAGCUGCUGAUACUCCUUCCAGAGCAUGAAGCAGACAGAGAUUUGGUUUAUUCCUCAUGAUCUCUGUACCUGAUGAUUGUUCACUGUUUCCUCAGGAGGCAGUGAGGAGGAGUAUGAUCUGAGUGGU